AUUACUUCUCUGCCUUUUGGCUAAGAUCAAGUGUAGUACCUGUUCUUGUCAGAUUACUGUCUGAUACAUCCUCUAUCCGAGGAAAAUAUAUUAAAUGGAUUUUUAGAAGUAGGAGUUGGAAUAGGAGCUUGCUCCAUCCACUCCACACAUCAAUCUGGUAUUGCAGUACCUCCAGGAAUGGUGGAUAUAAG
rnacentral:snRNA from 1 species